GCUGGGCGUGGUGGCUCACGCCUGUAAUCCCAGCACUUUGGGAGGCCGAGGUGGGCGGAUCACCUGAGGUCGGGAGUUCGAGACCAGCCUGACCAACAUGGAGAAACCCCAUCUCUA
rnacentral:SRP_RNA from 1 species